UAGGAAAGAACAUCCUGAACAAAUAGUUGAUGAGAAAUAUGAGGAACUAUCACCAAGGAUGUUUAGUUUAAAUUAUCAAGAGUCCAAGACUUCUUUUCUACCACCCUCUCUGCAAAGAAGUGAAAAUUCACCUAUAAUGCCACAGUUGAAUCUUGAGAGUGAUGUUAUACACUGCAACUUGCUGAGAAACACAACAGAAUAACACAGACAAUACCAAUGAGGAGUCUAUACAGCAGCACACAGUCCAUAAACAAGAGAAAUUCCCCUUAGUGACCUAAAUAUACAGGAAUGCAAUGGUCAUAAUGAAAUAAAAAUGUAACACAGAUGGUGACAAAACAUAACACCACUGGAGGCAAUAGUGACCUUAACCACAGCAAUGGUGUUCUCAGUUCCUGCCACUAAUCUGGGACACAAGCUGCAUUGGACCUCAGCCUGCCAUACCCCCAUUCA